AAGAAGUAUCUGAAUAAUUUUCAAAAUGGAAUAUCGUCACAUUGCCAAGAUCUGUGGGAUAUGAUGAAUACUCCGAACAUAUAUACAUAAUUUUAUACGGUCAGGACUUGUUAUGUCAAGACUACAGAACAAUGAUAAGUAUAACGCUUGGAAUUUAUAGAGAUUCACAUGAACCAAAUUCAACUUGGAGUUGUUCAAUUCAAUACCAUGUGCGUGUAGCAGCAUGUGCUGCAAAGCGAGCGAUUUUCGUUGCUUGCGAGUUGGACCGAAUGACAUGUUAGUGCAGGCUGAGUAUCCUCUACGUCAGGCAGACCUUGCUAAACUCGUAACUCCUUUGAUGAACACGAACUGUGGAUCUCAUCGUCUAGGGAGUCACAUGUAUGUUGUAUGCAUGCAUUGACUCAAAUGGCAUAUUAAUAGCAGUAGUAGUAAUAAUGAAAAUCCUUGCCCCGCGGGCGAGAUUUUAGGGGGCCGGGGCAUCGCUGCUGGACGAAAAAUGAUCACAUAACCAGCUUUUAAGAAAUACUUGUAUCACCAGAAAUUAAAACGGGGCUGAGUUCUUCAGAGUACUUACUGUUCAUCAAACUUGUGCGUGAGGAUGUCCUUACUGUUCAUCAAACUUCAAAGUACUUCAGAUGCCGUCCUUGAUCUUCCUGGUGAGCUGGAUGAC
rnacentral:lncRNA from 1 species